AUUUUCUUCUCUUCCUUCCCUCUUUCCAUUUCUCCAACCAAAAUCAAGAAAUUUGGCCAUCCAACCCUCCAAAAACCUUAGAACCCGAAGCUAAAUUGGGGCUUUUUGUGAUUUCUUCUUUCCAAGUUCAAAUCAAGAGGCUAGGCUAUGGGUUUGGCAAGGAUUUGUGGUGAAGAAGGCCAAUGAGGAGGAUUAGGCCAUGAGUUUUGAAGAAGAAAGGGAAACACGAUCGUUAAGGAAGCUUAAGCGGAAAGCACCAGAGUGUGGAAUACGCCGGCAUUUCCAGUGAAUGGGACCUAGACGCGUAGAUUCCUAGGGAUCCCACGGUGUCGAUAACCGUGAACCUCCGGAGGGGGCCGUGCUCCUAUGUUUGUCGA